GAUGUCAACUAGCCGUUGGAAGGGUAAUCCUUUGAGUGGCGCAGCUAACGCACUAAGUUGACGCCUGGGGAGUACGGUCGCAAGAUUAAAACUCAAAUGAAUUGACGGGGGCCCGCACAAGCGGUGGAGCAUGUGGUUUAAUUCGACGCAACGCGAAGAACCUUACCUGGUCUUGACAUCCAGCGAAUCCUGCAGAGAUGUGGGAGUGCCUUCGGGAGCGCUGAGACAGGUGCUGCAUGGCUGUCGUCAG
rnacentral:rRNA from 1 species